UACGAAGGGGGCUAGCGUUGCUCGGAAUUACUGGGCGUAAAGGGCGCGUAGGCGGAUAUCUAAGUUGGGGGUGAAAUCCCGGGGCUCAACCUCGGAAUUGGCCUUCAAAACUGGAUAUCUUGAGUUCGGGAGAGGUGAGUGGAACUCCGAGUGUAGAGGUGAAAUUCGUAGAAUAUUCGGAAGAACACCAGUGGCGAAGGCGACUCCACUGGCCCGAUACUGACGCUGAGGCGCGAAAGCGUGGGGAGCAAACAGG
rnacentral:rRNA from 1 species